UGCCCUACACUGGGGGAUAAACUCGGGAAACUGAGUAUCAUACCCCAUAGACCACUACGCCUGGAACGGUGAGUGGUUGAAAGCUCAGGCGGUGUAGGAUGGGUCUGCGGCGUAUCAGGUCGUAGGGGGUGUAAUGGACCUCCUAGCCAUCGGCGCAUACGGGUUGUGGGAGCAAUAGCCCGGAGACGGAUUCUGAGACACGAAUCCGGACCCUAUGGGGUGCAGCAGGCGCGAAAACUUCACACUGCAGGAAACUGUGAUGAGGGAACUCCAAGUGACUGCCCAAUGGGUAGCCUUUUCUUGAAUCUUAAUAGUUCUUGGAAUAAGGGCUGGGAAAGACCGGUGCCAGCCGCCGCGGUAAUACCGGCAGCUCAAGUGGUCGUCGCUUUUAUUGGGCCUAAAACGUCCGUAGCCUGUUUGGUAAAUCUGUGGGUAAAUCAACGAGCUUAACUCGUUGAAUUCUGCAGAGACUGCCAGACUAGGGACCGGGAGAGGUAUGAGGUACUCUGGGGGUAGGGGUAAAAUCCUGUCAUCCUCAGAGGACCACCUGUUGCGAAGGCGUCAUACUGGAACGGAUCCGACGGUCAGGGACGAAGCCUAGGGGCACGAACCGGAUUAGAUACCCGGGUAGUCCUAGGUGUAAACGCUGGUGGAUUUGGUGUGUGGGGUCC
rnacentral:rRNA from 1 species